UAAUACGGAGGGUGCAAGCGUUGUCCGGAUUUAUUGGGUUUAAAGGGUGCGUAGGCGGCCCGUUAAGUCCGUGGUGAAAUCCCAGGGCUCAACCCUGGAACUGCCAUGGAUACUGGCGGGCUUGAGUUCGGUCGAGGCGGGCGGAACUGGUGGUGUAGCGGUGAAAUGCAUAGAUACCACCAAGAACCCCGAUUGCGUAGGCAGCUCGCUAGGCCGAAACUGACGCUGAGGCACGAAAGCGUGGGGAGCGAACAGGAUUAGAUACCCUGGUAGUCCACGCCGUAAACGAUGAGUACUCGAUGUUGGCGAUACACAGCCAGCGUCCAAGCGAAAGCGUUAAGUACUCCACCUGGGGAGUACGCCCGCAAGGGUGAAACUUAAAUGAAUUGACGG
rnacentral:rRNA from 1 species